AGAGUUUGAUCCUGGCUCAGGAUGAACGCUGGCUACAGGCUUAACACAUGCAAGUCGAGGGGAAACGACGGGGAAGCUUGCUUCCCCGGGCGUCGACCGGCGCACGGGUGAGUAACGCGUAUCCAACCUGCCUCUGACUGAGGGAUAACCCGUCGAAAGUCGGCCUAAUACCUCAUGGCAUCGUCUGCGGGCAUCCAACGACGAUUAAAGAUUUCAUCGGUCAGGGAUGGGGAUGCGUCUGAUUAGCUUGUUGGCGGGGUAACGGCCCACCAAGGCUACGAUCAGUAGGGGUUCUGAGAGGAAGGUCCCCCACAUUGGAACUGAGACACGGUCCAAACUCCUACGGGAGGCAGCAGUGAGGAAUAUUGGUCAAUGGGCGAGAGCCUGAACCAGCCAAGUAGCGUGCAGGAUGACGGCCCUAUGGGUUGUAAACUGCUUUUAUGCGGGGAUAAAGUGAGCCACGUGUGGCUUUUUGCAGGUACCGCAUGAAUAAGGACCGGCUAAUUCCGUGCCAGCAGCCGCGGUAAUACGGAAGGUCCGGGCGUUAUCCGGAUUUAUUGGGUUUAAAGGGAGCGUAGGCCGCGCCUUAAGCGUGUUGUGAAAUGCGGGUGCUCAACAUCCGACUUGCAGCGCGAACUGGGGUGCUUGAGUGCGCCGAAAGUAGGCGGAAUUCGUGGUGUAGCGGUGAAAUGCUUAGAUAUCACGAAGAACUCCGAUUGCGAAGGCAGCUUACUGUAGCGCAACUGACGCUGAUGCUCGAAAGCGUGGGUAUCGAACAGGAUUAGAUACCCUGGUAGUCCACGCGGUAAACGAUGGAUGCUCGUUGUCGGCCCUUAGGGUCGGUGACCAAGCGAAAGCGUUAAGCAUCCCACCUGGGGAGUACGCCGGCAACGGUGAAACUCAAAGGAAUUGACGGGGGCCCGCACAAGCGGAGGAACAUGUGGUUUAA
rnacentral:rRNA from 1 species